AGCCAGAAACGACCUUUCCCAAAGCUUCUCCCUCCAGGUACCCAACUGAAUCAUCCAUAGGAUGACAAAUCCGUCAGGGACAAGUUUUCCAGACACUUGGGUAACGUCCUCAUCUCCGAGGUGACUUGUCGGCUCUGGGACUGGAGCCACGCGCGGGACGAAGUCCCCGCGACUGAAACACUUUCCAAACAACGCUAUUCUGUCGGACCCCAUAAACGCGAGGUGACAAGCCCAAGCGCGUGUGAAUGGAGCUGCGCAGGUUGUGUCCUGGGAGGUUAUAGUUACACACCCGGGGGCUGUGGGUGGCGGGACCCGUGCCCUCGAGGAGUUAACGUCACACCUAACGAGGACCUUCUAGAGCAAUGGGGACAUCGCCUUGGAUGAGGCAUAAUAGUGGAAAAUAGUCUUCGUGGAGCUCUGCAAACACGUGAAACUGGAAAACUCAACUACAGCUCCGUGUGCGCGCGCGAGACCUCACGUCACCCCAUCAAUUCCCACUUCUCCGAAGUGUCCCUUCAGCUGGGACUCGGGUGGCGCGCACGACCAUGCCCGCGCGUCCCGUAACUUCCCUAAUUGUGUAGCCUCCUGGCCCCUGUAGUUGAAAACAAAAAAACAAAAACAAAACCUCUUCCUAAUUAAAGAAACUUUAAAACCUC